rnacentral:rRNA from 1 species
UACAGAGGGGGCAAGCGUUGUUCGGAAUUACUGGGCGUAAAGGGCGCGUAGGCGGCCGCCUAAGUCAGACGUGAAAUCCCUCGGCUCAACCGGGGAACUGCGUCUGAUACUGGGUGGCUUGAAUUCGGGAGAGGGAUGCGGAAUUCCAGGUGUAGCGGUGAAAUUCGUAGAUAUCGGGAGGAACACCGGUGGCGAAGGCGGCGACCUGGGUGGAUACUGACGCUGAGGUGCG